GGCAGGAGAGGCUUGGGGGCCUCGUGGAUUGGGAAGAUGGCGGCCACCCGGGUUUCUUCGAUCGAUCUGCGAUCUGGACAGAGCCACGGCAACGCGGGCGUCGGGCGUAGGCGACCGACCCUCUGCAGCCACGCAUUGACAGGUAGAAGGCAUAACACUCCUCCCACCUUUGCUUCUCCCCUCCUCCCCUUCACUUCCCACUCCUUUCCAAUCUAGACUGCCCACCUACGUCCGCAUCUUUUUUCUCUCGAUUUGUACUACUUGAUUCUCUGGUUCUCUUAUAAUCGUAUUUUGAUUCCUCAACUUUUAGUUACCUGUCGAGACUAUAAGAAGAAUUUUGAGGAAGAAUUUGAUCAAGAAGACCAAGAGAGAUGGUUUGCUUUGGAGAGGAAUUAGAUAAGGCCCAUGAGUCCUAAAGAUAAUACAAUCAAUCCAACUGUUAA